rnacentral:tRNA from 1 species
GAGGCUUUAUCUUAAUUAAAGUAUCUGAUUUGCAUUCAGAAGAUAUAGGUUAAUGGCCUAUAAGUCUUA